UCAUGUUCCCCCGCAGAACCAUGGGAUAGACAUCAGCGAUUUGGCGAUUUAUUAGAGAGAAAACAACUGAGAGAGAGAACCUGAAAUGCAAACCAUUCAAAUGGAAUCUGGAAAAUGUCUAACCUCAGUUACAUCCUGUGAAUGAUACAGUUGCUCAUGGAGUGGUGUUUUACUAUACAGCAAGAGGUGAGAUAUUUGUUGGCCCCCUUGAGUCCAGUUCAUCCAAACCAACUAGUUGUCUAAGUGAUCCAGGCUUGGGUAACAUCCCGGAGCUGUAGUUGUGUUCAGAUGCUAAAAAGCUAAAGCAACACAUGGACUGGUACUUCAAACAGGGUCAGGCUAUACAGAACAGAGACACCAAACUCUAUUUGGAGAUCAGCGCUAACCAGAAAGGAAAUAAUAAAUUUUUUAUUCAGCAGUGCAGCGACCAGCAUUGGAGGAUACAGCAUGUAAAUAAGGACUUCUGAAAUGCAGGAGGCAAUUUUUUAUAUAUAUAUAUAUAUAAAUAAAUGUUG